rnacentral:tRNA from 1 species
GGGGUGCUAGACCGCUAUGGAGGCGGAGCGGUUUGUAGAACCGCUGUCCUGACCGACCCUCCAGGUUCGAUUCCUGGGCACCCCA